AAGCAACGCAACUGAGGCCACUGAGCAAGGUACCUUAGUACUAAAUAACAAAUUACUGUUCAAAUAAGGAGAAAGAUUGUCAGCGACAAAAAGCCGAUUAAUAGGCUAUCGGUCGGUAAGCGUCGGCGACAAAAAACCGAUUAAUCGGCUAUCGGUCGGUAAAGCUUUAACAAUGGUUACCGGUAACAAAGAAACAGGUUUCUCAUUUAUAAUGGUUAUUCCUGAGCGGAGUUGCUUGAACUAAGACACCGAUUCUCGUAAUAUAACUUAAUUUCGAUUAUAGGUAAACUGUUAGAAUCGCUGCAUAUCCAUGCAGAUGGAUAGAUAGAUACGUAACUAUCGUGUAGUUGGGAAAGUUCGAUUUUAUGGCGAGUUUCUAUCGUACAAUGAAACCUUCGAACAAAGACUGGUCUUAAUCGGAGAGAUACUAAGUUCUAGACAUUUUAUUCAACAGAAGGAUGAAAUGUAAAGUUUAUUGUCUGACGGAAUGUCGGACCUUUUAAAACGUUAUACUGUCGGAGUGGCGGCUCGUUAAACGUAAGUUCGUCGUCCAACUAGAGGUGCAACUUGCACGUAACCUAAUUACAUCAGUGAAGUGCUGAAUAUCUGGUCUACCGUGAGUCGAGUCCCUCGACACUGGACGUUCUACGAAAAAAUGUAAUUGCUUCUGCUCUCUCGAGAAAGAAAGAGAUGACAUAAACCCUUUUGCGCCCGGUUGCAACUCGCGUGCGAGUGACCUUUUUUUUUUUGAUAGAGUACGAAGAUAAAUUGCAUUCUCUUGGCGUAUCUAUCGUCGAAAGUUUUGUGAUUAAUGGGACAAACUGGCAGUAGGGAAAAAUGAGGUUAUCGGAAUCGUUCGAAGGCCAAAAUAAUUACGAUAGCUGAUUACUGAUAUUUGCGGAAAAUUCCAACUUGCAAAAAUGUGUAAAAUAUUCAGAGUGACGUACGGUUUGCGAUAUUUAUUAGACAGUACAAGUUCCCACGGAUGUAUUUAAGUUUUAUCGGUCUCUUAUCAAAUAGCUUAUUACGUUCGAAGAUUGCCUUUAAUUUCUCGAAUUGAAAUUCGUAAGAACGUCGCACUGAUAUUUCGAUUAUUCCCGAGCUCAAUAACGAGAUUUAAUUUGUUGCAAAUUUUCUUACGUGUAUAAUACGUAACGCGUGAUUUAUUAUUUACGCAAACAUUUUCUUCUUUAAUAUGAUUGAUGAUCGACGAUGGGAUACAGCUUAAUAAGCGAAAUAGACCUGUCUAUGCAACGUGCACUACGAUCCUUUCAUCCUUUUGAAAAACGAAAACGCAUGAAGAUAGAUAGAAGUCAAAGUAAUUGUACGAAAAGAAAAGGGUGGCAGCCAUCUCCCCAGCUUCCGGCAUUUUCUCGUUAACACGGUUCGAGGGAUCCCAUUGACACGCGAAAUUCGCCAUGGCAACACGACGACCCUUUGCUCGCUCUUUCCCUUCCAUCCUUUUGCGUCGUGCGAAUCGGCACCACAGGUCGACACUCAGACACGAGCCAUCCGAUUUAAAGGAAGUUUGACAAGCGACCAAGGAUUCUUCUCCUCGGUCAAACAAAGAGUUCGAUUUCACUCGAUCUGGCUAACUGGAAAGGCGAUGAAAGCGGAGUGAGAGGAAGCCGACUCGACUUAAAGAAGAAGAAGAAGAAGAAGAGGGACGAGGAAAAAGAAAAUUACAUCAGCUGCUUGGCAGCGAUCCCUUUCGUACCAUCCUAACCCCCGUUUCUUCUUCGCCCUUUUCUUGCUACGCGAGCCAGCUUCUACGAAAUUCAACCUUCUUCUUGUCCGUUUGCUACUUCUGGGAACCUCUAGCACGUUUUCGCCAGCAACCAACACACGGCUAACGAUCGCACACCUACCAAACCCACGCAAAACGAAUGCGAGAAAGUAUAGACACCGCGAAUGAAUUGCCUUGCAUCGUAACGUUGCGAAUAUAUGAAAUUCUCGGCUGUCGCUAGAGACUCGAGGAAAUCCACGCGAAGGUGAAAAUUGCGACGAGAUGCUGGAUGAAAAUUUUUUUCAACGGUAAAAUUUCAAUUCAACCAACAUCCAAGAGAAUUGGAUGCUACGAAGGAUCGACCCACCCUCUCGGAUCUGCGUACGUCGAAGCUGGUGAAAGGAAUGGAGAGAUGCACAAUCCGUCAGACUUUUAGCUCUUCAUUUCUAUACGAUAGAAAGAAAAAUUUGUGUCGCUUGCAGACAGAGGAUUCGCACCGUCAUUUGAAUUUAUGAAAGUUCAUCCUGUCAUGUUCAAUGAAUUCGACAUUAAUUCUCUAUAAUUAGAAUUUGUUCAACUUAUCGUAAUCCACCAGACUUUCGGUUUCGUCUGCAAAUUAGAUUAGAAACUUAUAAUUGCUAUUAAGCGAGUAUCAGUGAAACACAAUAACCCGGCGAUAAACAAACGAAAUGAUUACUUCUUUAAAAUUACAAUUUUGCUCGCUUGUGUGCGAGAAAGAGUAGAAUUCGUGCCAUGAAACGAUAAUAAAACAGAAUAAUCCAGUGACAACAAACGGAUGCGAGCUAAAAUUUAAGAAGCAUAUUUCUCCAAGUUAUCUGGCGUUACGAAGACCUAAUCGCAUAUUCCGUAGCAAAAAGAAAUUGCAUAAAGAAUGUUGUUAACCAGUGUAACGACUGAUGUCAGAAGAACGUCGCGUGUCCAGAAAUUGAGAAACUAGAGUCUACGACGUUGCCUACGUCGACCAAGAAGAGUAGCAAAGUGCGGUUUGAACUGGCGAAAAGCUAUUCGUCUUGGUGCACACCAAGAACGCCACUUAUGGUAAUAUUUCGUACAUCGCGCUGCAUGCAUAAUGCACAGCUCUAGAACUCGGAAUUUAUGUUUCGAGGACGAGAAGCCCGUUGUUACGAGGACUCAUGGCGGAGGAUUCGUGUCUUCUGUCCGCAAGAAACAUCUGCCACCGGCGUGGGAUCCCGACCGGCCUUCUACUCGCUGCACGAUCACUUUAAAAAACGAUUAGCGCUUCACGGACCGUGUGCAGCUCGAUCUUCGAUAAACGUCAUCGUUUUUCCGCGAUAAACGUACAAAGCGUGGGG